AGCAGCCGCGGUAAUUCCAGCUCCAAUAGCGUAUAUUAAAGUUGUUGCAGUUAAAAAGCUCGUAGUUGAAUUUCGGGAUCAAGUCGUCGGUCGUGCCUCGGUACGCACUGGUGACAUUGGUUUCUCCCUUCUGAAGAACCUUGAUGUCAUUAAUUUGGUGUCUUGGGGAAUCAGGACUGUUACUUUGAAAAAAUUAGAGUGUUUAAAGCAAGCUCACGCUUGAAUACAUUAGCAUGGAAUAAUGAAAUAGGACGUUUGAUUCUAUUUUGUUGGUUUCUAGGAUCGACGUAAUGAUUAAUAGGGAUAGUUGGGGGCAUUAGUAUUCAAUUGUCAGAGGUGAAAUUCUUGGAUUUAUUGAAGACUAACUACUGCGAAAGCAUUUGCCAAGGAUGUUUUCAUUAAUCAAGAACGAAAGUUAGGGGAUCGAAGACGAUCGGAUACCGUCGUAGUCUUAACCAUAAACUAUGCCGACUAGGGAUCGGAUGAUGUAAUUUUUAAUGACUCAUUCGGCGCCUUACGG
rnacentral:rRNA from 1 species